GGGGCUGUAGCUCAGUGGCAGAGUGCUUACCUAGCAUGUGUGAGGCACUGGGUUUGAUUCCCAGCACCACA
rnacentral:tRNA from 1 species